rnacentral:lncRNA from 1 species
GAUUUGGAUAUCUGACAUCUACUAUAUAAUAUUUUUUUGCAUAAUUUAUUACAAUUCACUGUAACUGAUAGAAGUAAAUCAUUACUAAUCAAAUAUGGAUAGUGAAAUAAACCUUAAGGUGAAUGAGGAAACUCUUAUAUAGAUCUUCUAAUUGCCUUAUAGAAAAUAUGAGUGUUAUGAGUUGUACCCUCCCAUCCUGUCCAAAUAUAUAUAAAUUCUAUUGCUGCUCGUUUCGGC